rnacentral:rRNA from 1 species
UACGGAGGAUGCAAGCGUUAUCCGGAUUUAUUGGGUUUAAAGGGUGCGCAGGUUGUUUGAUAAGUCAGUGGUGAAAGUCUGUCGCUUAACGGUAGGAUUGCCAUUGAUACUGCAUGGCUAGGAUUUGGUUGCUGUGGGUGGAAUGUGUGGUGUAGCGGUGAAAUGCUUAGAUAUCACACAUAAUAUCGAUUGCGAAGGCAGCUCACAAAGCCAAGAUUGACGCUGAGGCACGAAAGUGUGUGGAU